CGGGCUACUGCACAAGUAGGUAAAGUUAGACUGUUAGAUAUAUUAAUUUGUACUGUAGUACUUUAUAUCUCAGUUAAAUCUUGAAUUUACAUCUAUUUUCAGUUUCAGUUUAGAAUUACUUUAAUUGAACUCAGGAGUGAAAACUUCAAUUAAUACGACAAACAUUAAUAACCAAGGAAAUGCAAACUUUGAAGUAACACCCACUGCUCUCAAUUCAUCAUCCGGUGAUGAGGAGGAUGAGAAGAGGGAUUCCAAGGGAAAGAACAAGGAGGAAGAAGAAAAAGGGAAAGGAGGGGGAAAGGGCAAGGAGCAAACUUGUUGAUAAUCAUUCAUUGUUCUGGUGAUCGUCAUCACAAUCAGAUGGUUGUAUUGACAAUUUGGAAAUGGAAAGGCAAGAAGCAAGAAAUACCUGUACCUGCUCCAAUUACAGGUUCAACUACUAUAAAGAUGCCUGAAAACACCACCAAAAAGGUGGACCUACUCAACAUUAAGACAACCUCCCUGGGGAAGGAGAAGGUUCUAAGCCGUGGUUCGAAAAUAUGAGCCAGGAGUACCGUUCCUCGGGGUCUCCAAGCCAUUGGAUGUGGUUGUGGGGCCUACAUGAUGGAUGAUCCAAUGACACAGGGUAUUCAUUCGCAAGGAUGUGACUUGGGCCCGGGUUUGAUCUAGAGAUGCUAGGGUUUGAUGGAGGAGGGAUCAAAGUCUCUGUUGGAACCUUAUCUGCUAUAUAACCUAUGCGAUUAUCCCGCUAACGCACAAAGGGAAAGGUCUUCAACUGCUUCGUCGUACGCCCGCUAUAGAGGAAGAGCUACUGGCACAACUGCAGAGGUAAACCCCAUACUCCUGCUAACUUGUAAAAAAAGAGCUGAAGUAUUGGCUGUUAUGGUUGCGGAAUCACUUGUUUGCUUUAGGUGCUUUGAGGAGCUUUAGUGGUGGACUCGUGUAAGCGCGUACUAGAAGUCCAUUUUAUAUUAUUCCUUUGUUUAUUGUUAAUUGACAGAGCCUUCCUUACGUAGCAUAUUUUAUGAUUGGAGCUCUUAAUUUAGUUUUUGGAUAGAAGUUGGGUUUUAUUAUAUGGACAUAUGUUUUGACGGUUACCACCA